UACGUAUGGUGCAAGCGUUAUCCGGAUUUACUGGGCGUAAAGGGAGCGCAGGCGGCGCGCCAAGUCUGAUGUGAAACCCCGGGGCUCAACCCCGGGACUGCUCUUGGAACUGCGUGGCUGGAGUGCAGGAGGGGCAGGCGGAAUUCCUGGCGUAGCGGUGAAAUGCGUAGAUAUCAGGAGGAACACCGGUGGCGAAGGCGGCCUGCUGGACUGCAACUGACGUUGAGGCCCGAAAGCGUGGGGAGCAAACAGG
rnacentral:rRNA from 1 species